rnacentral:misc_RNA from 1 species
AAGAAUGUAGUAGGCAGGAUCCUAUGAUAAUAUAGCACAUACAACUACUCAAGCUCGUGAAAUGAUAAUUAAAAAACAAUAACAAACAGAACCACACAAACCCUUAAUCAUUAAUUCAUUUGAAACUGUUGAGCUAACAAGGAAAUCGAUAAUAUCCAUAAUUAGCGAAUGCAAGUGCAAAGUAAUUAUUGAUUUCUAAACUCCUUUGCAGGCAAAUACAUGUACAGUCUGAUGGGCAACAUUGUCAAAAUUAAACAAGGAUGCUCUAAUGGCAUCAAAGAAAUCCUACAUAACAAAAAAUAAGUUAUACAUGAUUAUGUAUCUGAUAAGGAAAUAAAGAGCCACAAACUCAGUACCACUUAUUAGAACAUCUCUACCUGGAUUUAUCAAUACAUGCUGUCAAUAUUCAAUAAAAUAACUUUAGCAAUUAGCAUUGCAAAACUACUUAACUUUAGGAAACACAAAAAUACUCAAGCAUUUGCUCAUAGAUUGUCAACACAACAGUAAAAUUUGCAUGUUAUCAAGGCUUCAAAACAUGCAAACUUCUAUAUCAUUUAACUGUACUGGAUUUGCCAACACAAAUAUCAGGAAAAAUCAACCUGUUUGUAUUUCACAAUCAUGAACCAUAACCAAAUGCCAAUAUCAAGGGCUCUACAAGACAAACUCAUCAUAAAUAACACUCUUAACAUGACAUCACAGUACAAAUGAAACCACACACAAAGAAAUCCAAAUGUUAUUAGCCAAUCUUGGUGGAAGACAUAAGGCCCAUGUGCUAAGGGGUUUUAAGUUCACAUCUAAACAUGACCAAACAGCUGAUGAAAAAAAAAAGUACUCCUCUGAUAACUUUUAUUUAGAAGUGAGCUCCAAAGGGAAUGGUUUAUUUGUACGACUGAACACAAUGUUAAAAGACUAUAGCAAUUCGUAACCAUAUUUAUCCAUAACUUUAAUAGCUUUCAAUUAACAGCAAUUUAGAUAAAAACAUUUAAUCACAAAUCUUAAAUUAUAUCCACAUCAAGACGUCCUACAACGAACCCACACGCAAAUGACUACUAAAUGGGAGUAAGCUAACACAAUAUAUAUCCUUUUCAACUAUUAAUCCACCAAGAAAAGAUAAUGCAAACUGAAGAAAUGAGAAAGAGAAUGCGAAGGCUCACCUGACGAAGAGGGCUAUCUUUAG